AAAGGAGCAAGCCUAUAAGAAGAAAGCUGGCUAACCCUCCCAUCCCUUUUUUAACUCCUCCAGCCCAUCCCACAUCAUUUUAGAGUGAAGGUAAGUGUACCCUAUAUAGUAAAAUGCAUCAGGUCCCUAAAUUCAAGCAGACACAAUGUACUCCACAGGUCCACAGCACAUACCAUAGUUUGAUGUUCCAGAGAUAUGAUUUUUGAGUUUAUAUUAGUAGUGUGAUCAGUAAACCAAGGUUUUCUGUCUUUCCAAGAGACUGCGGUUAAUAUUCAGAAAGAGGCGCCGAGAACUGAAGGCUUUCCUGACUGUAAGCCAUUUAAAACGCAGACAAUGAAAACACUGACACGUGUGUGUGUGUAGAAAUGUGUGGCAAUUACUCAGCCCACUGACAUUAGUUUAUCUAAUUGUGAUAAACUUGACUUACUGUUCACUCCAAUAAUUUCGUUUUUCUGUAUUUUCUAGUGACACCGAAUAAUACCGAAGGCCUGUGUGCUUUGCAGCAGCCUCCACGUCACCCUCUUCCAGGGCUCCGUCAGAGGACUAACGAUAUGCCACAAGAUGAUUGGCAGCAAGACACACCCAGUGAUGAAGGGAUGUGCUCUCCUUAAAUCACAGCCUAUUCAUCAGGUACUCCUGAGUGCUGUGUUAAGAAAUCCUGCCUACAAAGUUCCACUGAGGCUGAUAUAAAGAUGACUGUGAGAAACUGGCUGCGGCUGUCUGAGCAGAGACAGGAAUGGGGGCGGCAAAGGCGGGACAAGCAAGCAUCUUAAGUGAAAUAAUUGAUUGGACUGAUUCUGGAGUAUGACUUAUUCUGGAGGGAAUUUCUUAUUUUUGUUGCAGUUUGCUAUGGGACGGUUUCAAGGACAGGGAUUAGACUAGUUCUAGACUAAAAUAAAUGUAAGAGCUGUCCAAACUGAAAACAACUUGCACUGACAUAUCAUAAAAUACAUCAGUGUAUUUAAGACAUGUUAUUAAAACUAGUUAUAUUUCAGAAUUAAACUAAGGCCUAGUCCCGGUUUAAGAUAAUCCCUGUCCGGGAAACCACCCCAAAGUGUAAUUUGUGGAGUGUUAAAAUAAAUGAAACUGCCUUUGCAAAAACAAAGUAAAAAAAAAAUUCCAGAUGCCCUUCUGUUUUGUUAUUUCUCCUGGAAAACUCACUGAUCCAUUUUUUUCUGUUAGACUGACAUUUACCAGGUUGUCAUAUUGUGUAUGAAAUACACCCUACACAUAACAAUCACUUACUUUCAAUUUAAACUUUUUUUGUCAUAAAACCUGGCAACUCAAAAGGAAGCGGCUGCAGACUGCGCAGCCACGGACGGAGUCUUGCAUGCAAGUGGGCUAGUUGCCUACUUCUCCACUAGCUCUUGUCAAAUUGUUAGGGAAGAAAUUUUAUGAAUAACACAACAUAAACUGUUAUUGAGGGUUGAUUGUUGUUGAUACACAAUAUGAAAUGAGUUAGCCUGCAGGGGUCUCCAACAUUGUGAGCAAGGGCUACAACAAUAUGUAUAAAACAAUCUGGAGGGCUACUUUUUUAUUUAUUCUACUCAAAACUUUUUUGUUUUACUUACUGAUUUUAUUUUAUUUUACUUUUUGAUAUGUUUUAGUAUUGUUUAAUAUGUUAACAUACGUAAACCAAGCCAAGUUAAUAUAAAACAUAUGUAUGUAAUAAAUAAAUAUUACAAUUGAGACUAAUAGAAUGUGCUGGCACCAUGGAGACCCCUGGCCUAAACAAAUCAAUUAUAUAACGGUGGGAUCCUGACGCCUCGCUCCCUUUAACACUGGAACAGCUGCUUUAUAAGCAUGCCUUGACGUUUACAGCGAUGCAGCCGAAAAUCAGCUGUGUUCAAUGGGAGAGCGAAGCGGAUCGCGCCGCAUAUAGGUCAUAAUAAUUAGGGCGGGUUUACGUUGGCUCACGGUCGGCGAUCAUUCUAAUGCCACCAUCUUCCCGAUGUCUUGCCUAUUAGCUACCGAUCUCCAUAAGACAUCUCACCGAGGCACUUUAUGUCGGGCAAGUACAUGCGCCCCAACGUCGGUAAGAGCUAAAUUGCUGUCUGGGAACAUACA